GUCUUUGCUUGGUUCAAUCGGGGGAUUGAAUCAAAGGUAUAGAGGUUGGUUGGUGAGCCGAGUGUAGAACCAACGUAUGUAAGGGUUCGAUUGUGAUCCCGGAAAAACAAUCGGGGUGGUUCUAGUCGGUGAGCCUGGGAAAACCGACCGAGUUCGUUGUGAGCUCGUAAAACAACAAGUUUGGUUGUGAGCUUGGAAAACAACCGGCUGUAAUCCAAGGGGUUAUAGUGAAUUUCCAAGUGAGACUUGGGGAGUGGACGUAGGAGCAAGGGUUAGCUCCGAACCACUAUAAAACAUUGUGUUUGUGAUUGUUUGUCUCUCUCUAUCUCUCGCAUUUCAUUCACCGCACAUAGAAACUAAUUAAUCAUCUGGCAAAAGCAUUAAUUAGUUAUCCACAAAAGUUUUAAUAGCCAAAUUAUUUUAAAACCCAAUUCACCCCCCCUCUUGGGUUGUCUAUCUGGGCAACAAUU
rnacentral:lncRNA from 1 species